rnacentral:rRNA from 1 species
AGCAAUUAUACAGCGAAACUGCGAAUGGCUCAUUAAAUCAGUUAUCGUUUAUUUGAUAGUACCUUACUACUUGGAUAACCGUGGUAAUUCUAGAGCUAAUACAUGCUAAAAACCCCGACUCUCGGAGGGGUGUAUUUAUUAGAUUAAAAGCCAAUGCCCUCCGGGGCUCACUGGUGAUUCAUGAUAACUUGUCGAAUCGCAUGGCCUUGCGCCGGCGAUGGUUCAUUCAAAUUUCUGCCCUAUCAACUUUCGACGGCUGGGUCUUGGCCAGCCAUGGUGACAACGGGUAACGGAGGGUUAGGGCUCGACCCCGGAGAACGAGCCUGAGAAACGGCUAUUACAUCCAAGGAAGGCAGCAGGCGCGCAAAUUACCCAAUACCGACUCGGUGA